AGUGAACGCUGGCGGCAGGCCUAAUACAUGCAAGUCGAACGGCAGCACAGCAGAGCUUGCUCUGUGGGUGGCGAGUGGCGGACGGGUGAGGAAUACGUGGGAAUCUGCCCAGUCGUGGGGGAUAACGUAGGGAAACUUACGCUAAUACCGCAUGCGCCCUUUGGGGGAAAGCCGGGGAUCUUCGGACCUGGCGCGAUUGGAUGAGCCCACGUCGGAUUAGCUAGUUGGAGGGGUAAAGGCCCACCAAGGCGACGAUCCGUAGCUGGUCUGAGAGGAUGAUCAGCCACAAUGGAACUGAGACACGGUCCAGACUCCGACGGGAGGCAGCAGUAGGGAAUAUUGGACAAUGGGCGCAAGCCUGAUCCAGCCAUGCCGCGUGAGUGAAGAAGGCCCUCGGGUUGUAAAGCUCUUUUGUUGGGGAAGAAAAGCCUUGGGUUAAUACCCUGAGGUUCUGACGGUACCCAAAGAAUAAGCACCGGCUAACUUCGUGCCAGCAGCCGCAGUAA
rnacentral:rRNA from 1 species